rnacentral:rRNA from 1 species
UGGGGAAUAUUGGACAAUGGGGGCAACCCUGAUCCAGCCAUGCCGCGUGAGUGAAGAAGGCCUUAGGGUUGUAAAGCUCUUUCAGUCGUGACGAUGAUGACGGUAGCGACAGAAGAAGCCCCGGCUAACUCCGUGCCAGCAGCCGCGGUAAUACGGAGGGGGCUAGCGUUGUUCGGAAUCACUGGGCGUAAAGCGCGCGUAGGCGGAUCGGUUAGUUGGGGGUGAAAUCCCGAGGCUCAACCUCGGAACUGCCCUCAAUUCUGUCGAUCUCGAGACCGGGAGAGGUGAGUGGAAUUCCUAGUGUAGAGGUGAAAUUCGUAGAUAUUAGGAAGAACACCAGUGGCGAAGGCGGCUCACUGGCCCGGUACUGACGCUGAGGCGCGAAAGCGUGGGGAGCAAACAGGAUUAGAUACCCGCGUAG